AGUGAACGCUGGCGGUAGGCCUAACACAUGCAAGUCGAACGGCAGCACAGUAAGAGCUUGCUCUUACGGGUGGCGAGUGGCGGACGGGUGAGAAAUACAUCGGAAUCUACUUUUUCGUGGGGGAUAACGUAGGGAAACUUACGCUAAUACCGCAUACGACCUACGGGUGAAAGCAGGGGAUCUUCGGACCUUGCGCGAUUGAAUGAGCCGAUGUCGGAUUAGCUAGUUGGCGGGGUAAAGGCCCACCAAGGCGACGAUCCGUAGCUGGUCUGAGAGGAUGAUCAGCCACACUGGAACUGAGACACGGUCCAGACUCCUACGGGAGGCAGCAGUGGGGAAUAUUGGACAAUGGGCGAAAGCCUGAUCCAGCCAUACCGCGUGGGUGAAGAAGGCCUUCGGGUUGUAAAGCCCUUUUGUUGGGAAAGAAAAGCAGCAGGUUAAUCCCCCGCUGUUCUGACGGUACCCAAAGAAUAAGCACCGGCUAACUUCGUG
rnacentral:rRNA from 1 species